UACAGAGGUCUCAAGCGUUGUUCGGAUUCAUUGGGCGUAAAGGGUGUGUAGGUGGCGCGCUAAGUCGGGUGUGAAAUUUCGGAGCUUAACUCCGAAACUGCAUUCGAUACUGCCGUGCUUGAGGACUGGAGAGGAGACUGGAAUUUACGGUGUAGCGGUGAAAUGCGUAGAUAUCGUAAGGAAGACCAGUGGCGAAGGCGGGUCUCUGGACAGUUCCUGACGCUGAGGCACGAAGGUCAGGGGAGCAAAACGGG
rnacentral:rRNA from 1 species